rnacentral:rRNA from 1 species
GUGAAAUUGAACUCGCUGUGAAGAUGCAGUGUACCCGCGGCAAGACGGAAAGACCCCGUGAACCUUUACUAUAGCUUGACACUGAACAUUGAGCCUUGAUGUGUAGGAUAGGUGGGAGGCUUUGAAGCGUGGACGCCAGUCUGCGUGGAGCCGACCUUGAAAUACCACCCUUUAAUGUUUGAUGUUCUAACGUGGACCCGUAAUCCGGGUUGCGGACAGUGUCUGGUGGGUAGUUUGACUGGGGCGGUCUCCUCCUAAAGAGUAACGGAGGAGCACGAAGGUUGGCUAAUCCUGGUCGGACAUCAGGAGGUUAGUGCAAUGGCAUAAGCCAGCUUGACUGCGAGCGUGACGGCGCGAGCAGGUGCGAAAGCAGGUCAUAGUGAUCCGGUGGUUCUGAAUGGAAGGGCCAUCGCUCAACGGAUAAAAGGUACUCCGGGGAUAACAGGCUGAUACCGCCCAAGAGUUCAUAUCGACGGCGGUGUUUGGCACCUCGAUGUCGGCUCAUCACAUCCUGGGGCUGAAGUAGGUCCCAAGGGUAUGGCUGUUCGCCAUUUAAAGUGGUACGCGAGCUGGGUUUAGAACGUCGUGAGACAGUUCGGUCCCUAUCUGCCGUGGGCGCUGGAGAACUGAGGGGGGCUGCUCCUAGUACGAGAGGACCGGAGUGGACGCAUCACUGGUGUUCGGGUUGUCAUGCCAAUGGCACUGCCCGGUAGCUAAAUGCGGAAGAGAUAAGUGCUGAAAGCAUCUAAGCACGAAACUUGCCCCGAGAUGAGUUCUCCCUGAGACUUAGAGUCUCCUGAAGGAACGUUGAAGACGACGACGUUGAUAGGCCGGGUGUGUAAGCGCAGCGAUGCGUUGAGCUAACCGGUACUAAUGAACCGUGAGGCUUAACCUUACA